rnacentral:rRNA from 1 species
GGUUAAGCGACUAAGCGUACACGGUGGAUGCCCUGGCAGUCAGAGGCGAUGAAGGACGUGCUAAUCUGCGAUAAGCGUCGGUAAGGUGAUAUGAACCGUUAUAACCGGCGAUUUCCGAAUGGGGAAACCCAGUGUGUUUCGACACACUAUCAUUAACUGAAUCCAUAGGUUAAUGAGGCGAACCGGGGGAACUGAAACAUCUAAGUACCCCGAGGAAAAGAAAUCAACCGAGAUUCCCCCAGUAGCGGCGAGCGAACGGGGAGCAGCCCAGAGCCUGAAUCAGUGUGUGUGUUAGUGGAAGCGUCUGGAAAGGCGCGCGAUACAGGGUGACAGCCCCGUACACAAAAAUGCACAUACUGUGAGCUCGAUGAGUAGGGCGGGACACGUGGUAUCCUGUCUGAAUAUGGGGGGACCAUCCUCCAAGGCUAAAUACUCCUGACUGACCGAUAGUGAACCAGUACCGUGAGGGAAAGGCGAAAAGAACCCCGGCGAGGGGAGUGAAAAAGAACCUGAAACCGUGUACGUACAAGCAGUGGGAGCCUCUUUAUGGGGUGACUGCGUACCUUUUGUAUAAUGGGUCAGCGACUUAUAUUCUGUAGCAAGGUUAACCGAAUAGGGGAGCCGAAGGGAAACCGAGUCUUAACUGGGCGUUAAGUUGCAGGGUAUAGACCCGAAACCCGGUGAUCUAGCCAUGGGCAGGUUGAAGGUUGGGUAACACUAACUGGAGGACCGAACCGACUAAUGUUGAAAAAUUAGCGGAUGACUUGUGGCUGGGGGUGAAAGGCCAAUCAAACCGGGAGAUAGCUGGUUCUCCCCGAAAGCUAUUUAGGUAGCGCCUCGUGAAUUCAUCUCCGGGGGUAGAGCACUGUUUCGGCAAGGGGGUCAUCCCGACUUACCAACCCGAUGCAAACUGCGAAUACCGGAGAAUGUUAUCACGGGAGACACACGGCGGGUGCUAACGUCCGUCGUGAAGAGGGAAACAACCCAGACCGCCAGCUAAGGUCCCAAAGUCAUGGUUAAGUGGGAAACGAUGUGGGAAGGCCCAGACAGCCAGGAUGUUGGCUUAGAAGCAGCCAUCAUUUAAAGAAAGCGUAAUAGCUCACUGGUCGAGUCGGCCUGCGCGGAAGAUGUAACGGGGCUAAACCAUGCACCGAAGCUGCGGCAGCGACACUAUGUGUUGUUGGGUAGGGGAGCGUUCUGUAAGCCUGUGAAGGUGUACUGUGAGGUAUGCUGGAGGUAUCAGAAGUGCGAAUGCUGACAUAAGUAACGAUAAAGCGGGUGAAAAGCCCGCUCGCCGGAAGACCAAGGGUUCCUGUCCAACGUUAAUCGGGGCAGGGUGAGUCGACCCCUAAGGCGAGGCCGAAAGGCGUAGUCGAUGGGAAACAGGUUAAUAUUCCUGUACUUGGUGUUACUGCGAAGGGGGGACGGAGAAGGCUAUGUUGGCCGGGCGACGGUUGUCCCGGUUUAAGCGUGUAGGCUGGUUUUCCAGGCAAAUCCGGAAAAUCAAGGCUGAGGCGUGAUGACGAGGCACUACGGUGCUGAAGCAACAAAUGCCCUGCUUCCAGGAAAAGCCUCUAAGCAUCAGGUAACAUUAAAUCGUACCCCAAACCGACACAGGUGGUCAGGUAGAGAAUACCAAGGCGCUUGAGAGAACUCGGGUGAAGGAACUAGGCAAAAUGGUGCCGUAACUUCGGGAGAAGGCACGCUGAUAUGUAGGUGAAGUCCCUCGCGGAUGGAGCUGAAAUCAGUCGAAGAUACCAGCUGGCUGCAACUGUUUAUUAAAAACACAGCACUGUGCAAACACGAAAGUGGACGUAUACGGUGUGACGCCUGCCCGGUGCCGGAAGGUUAAUUGAUGGGGUCAGCGCAAGCGAAGCUCUUGAUCGAAGCCCCGGUAAACGGCGGCCGUAACUAUAACGGUCCUAAGGUAGCGAAAUUCCUUGUCGGGUAAGUUCCGACCUGCACGAAUGGCGUAAUGAUGGCCAGGCUGUCUCCACCCGAGACUCAGUGAAAUUGAACUCGCUGUGAAGAUGCAGUGUACCCGCGGCAAGACGGAAAGACCCCGUGAACCUUUACUAUAGCUUGACACUGAACAUUGAGCCUUGAUGUGUAGGAUAGGUGGGAGGCUUAGAAGUGUGGACGCCAGUCUGCAUGGAGCCGACCUUGAAAUACCACCCUUUAAUGUUUGAUGUUCUAACGUUGACCCGUGAUCCGGGUUGCGGACAGUGUCUGGUGGGUAGUUUGACUGGGGCGGUCUCCUCCUAAAGAGUAACGGAGGAGCACGAAGGUUGGCUAAUCCUGGUCGGACAUCAGGAGGUUAGUGCAAUGGCAUAAGCCAGCUUGACUGCGAGCGUGACGGCGCGAGCAGGUGCGAAAGCAGGUCAUAGUGAUCCGGUGGUUCUGAAUGGAAGGGCCAUCGCUCAACGGAUAAAAGGUACUCCGGGGAUAACAGGCUGAUACCGCCCAAGAGUUCAUAUCGACGGCGGUGUUUGGCACCUCGAUGUCGGCUCAUCACAUCCUGGGGCUGAAGUAGGUCCCAAGGGUAUGGCUGUUCGCCAUUUAAAGUGGUACGCGAGCUGGGUUUAGAACGUCGUGAGACAGUUCGGUCCCUAUCUGCCGUGGGCGCUGGAGAACUGAGGGGGGCUGCUCCUAGUACGAGAGGACCGGAGUGGACGCAUCACUGGUGUUCGGGUUGUCAUGCCAAUGGCACUGCCCGGUAGCUAAAUGCGGAAGAGAUAAGUGCUGAAAGCAUCUAAGCACGAAACUUGCCCCGAGAUGAGUUCUCCCUGACCCUUUAAGGGUCCUGAAGGAACGUUGAAGACGACGACGUUGAUAGGCCGGGUGUGUAAGCGCAGCGAUGCGUUGAGCUAACCGGUACUAAUGAACCGUGAGGCUUAACCUU